rnacentral:rRNA from 1 species
AUUGAACGCUGGCGGCAGGCCUAACACAUGCAAGUCGAGCGAGCGGCAGACGGGUGAGUAAUGUAUGGGGACUGCCCGAUAGAGGGGGAUAACUACUGGAAACGGUUGCUAAUACCGCAUACUAUCGGAUAACCCAUAUGGGAUUAGCUAGUAGGUAAGGUAAUGGCUUACCUAGGCGACGAUCCCUAGCUGGUCUGAGAGGAUGAUCAGCCACACUGGGACUGAGACACGGCCCAGACUCCUACGGAGGCAGCAGUGGGGAAUAUUGCACAAUGGGCGAAAGCCUGAUGGAGCAAUGCCGCGUGUAUGAAGAAGGCCCUAGGGUGGUAAAGUACUGUCAGUCGGGAGGCGUUACCGACAGAAGAAGCACCGGCUAACUCCGUGCCAGCAGCCGCGGUAAUAC